rnacentral:misc_RNA from 1 species
AGUCGUAACAAGGUAUCCGUAGGUGAACCUGCGGAUGGAUCAUUAACAAAGGUGUUUUUGAAGUUGUGUGAACAGUUGGAGGUGGUGGUGGUGGUGGUAUUGGGUGGUACUGGGUGGUAUUGAGUGGUGUAACCUUGGUCUAACCUUGGUCAACCUCACUCAACCUCACUCAACCUCACUCUCCCAACCUCACUCUCCCAACCUCCACCACUCCGUCCCUAUAAUGUAUACAAACUGAUGUCUGCUAGUUUCAAACUAAAACAACUUUUAGCAACGGAUCUCUUGGCUCUC